rnacentral:rRNA from 1 species
AUCUAUUCGUAGUAAAGUGGGGGACUUUCGAGCCUCACGCUAUCAGAUGAGCCUGCGUAAGAUUAGCUUGUUGGUGGGGUAAAAGCCCACCAAGGCGACGAUCUUUAGCUGGUCUGAGAGGAUGAUCAGCCACAUCGGGACUGAGACACGGCCCGAACUCCUACGGGAGGCAGCAGUGGGGAAUAUUGGACAAUGGGGGCAACCCUGAUCCAGCAAUACCGCGUGUGUGAAGAAGGCCUGAGGGUUGUAAAGCACUUUCAAUUGUGAAGAAAAGUUAGCGGUUAAUAACCGUUAGCCUUGACGUUAACUUUAGAAGAAGCACCGGCUAACUCCGUGCCAGCAGCCGCGGUAAUACGGAGGGUGCAAGCGUUAAUCGGAAUUACUGGGCGUAAAGCGUGCGUAGGCGGUUUAUUAAGUCAGAUGUGAAAGCCCCGGGCUUAACCUGGGAACUGCAUUUGAAACUGGUCAACUAGAGUAUGGUAGAGGAAAGUGGAAUUUCUGGUGUAGCGGUGAAAUGCGUAGAUAUCAGAAGGAACAUCAAUGGCGAAGGCAGCUUUCUGGACCAAUACUGACGCUGAGGUACGAAAGCGUGGGUAGCAAACAGGAUUAGAUACCCUGGUAGUCCACGCCGUAAACGAUGAUAACUAGCCGUUGGGGGGAUUUACCCUUUAGUGGCGAAGCUAACGCGUUAAGUUAUCCGCCUGGGGAGUACGGCCGCAAGGUUAAAACUCAAAGGAAUUGACGGGGACCCGCACAAGCGGUGGAGCAUGUGGUUUAAUUCGAUGCAACGCGAAGAACCUUACCUGGUCUUGACAUCCUGCGAACUUUCUAGAAAUAGAUUGGUGCCUUCGGGAACGCAGUGACAGGUGCUGCAUGGCUGUCGUCAGCUCGUGUCGUGAGAUGUUGGGUUAAGUCCCGUAACGAGCGCAACCCCUAUCCUUAUUUGCCAGCACAUUAUGGUGGGAACUAUAAGGAGACUGCCGGUGAUAAACCGGAGGAAGGCGGGGACGACGUCAAGUCAUCAUGGCCCUUACGACCAGGGCUACACACGUGCUACAAUGGGAAGGACAAAGAGCCGCGAAGCCGCGAGGUGUAGCUAAUCUCAUAAACCUUUUCGUAGUCCGGAUUGGAGUCUGCAACUCGACUCCAUGAAGUCGGAAUCGCUAGUAAUCGUAGAUCAGAAUGCUACGGUUAAUACGUUCCCGGGUCUUGUACACACCGCCCGUCAUACCAUGGGAGUGGGUUGCACCAGAAGUGGCUAGUCUAACUUAGUGAG